rnacentral:rRNA from 1 species
AGGGAUUGCCCUAGUAACGGCGAGUGAAGCGGCAACAGCUCAAAUUUGAAAUCUGGCUCUUUCAGAGUCCGAGUUGUAAUUUGCAGAGGGCGCUUUGGCUUUGGCAGCGGUCCAAGUUCCUUGGAACAGGACGUCACAGAGGGUGAGAAUCCCGUACGUGGUCGCUAGCUAUUGCCGUGUAAAGCCCCUUCGACGAGUCGAGUUGUUUGGGAAUGCAGCUCUAAAUGGGAGGUAAAUUUCUUCUAAAGCUAAAUAUUGGCCAGAGACCGAUAGCGCACAAGUAGAGUGAUCGAAAGAUGAAAAGCACUUUGGAAAGAGAGUCAAACAGCACGUGAAAUUGUUGAAAGGGAAGCGCUUGCAGCCAGACUUGCUUGCAGUUGCUCAUCCGGGCUUUUGCCCGGUGCACUCUUCUGCAGGCAGGCCAGCAUCAGUUUGGGCGGUGGGAUAAAGGUCUCUGUCAUGUACCUCUCUUCGGGGAGGCCUUAUAGGGGAGGCGACAUACCACCAGCCUAGACUGAGGUCCGCGCAUCUGCUAGGAUGCUGGCGUAAUGGCUGUAAGCGGCCCGUCUUGAAACACGGACCAAGGAGUCUAACAUCUAUGCGAGUGUUUGGGUGUCAAGCCCGAGCGCGUAAUGAAAGUGAACGGAGGUGGGAACCCGCAAGGGUGCACCAUCGACCGAUCCUGAAGUUUACGGAAGGAUUUGAGUAAGAGCAUGGCUGUUGGGACCCGAAAGAUGGUGAACUAUGCUUGAAUAGGGUGAAGCCAGAGGAAACUCUGGUGGAGGCUCGCAGCGGUUCUGACGUGCAAAUCGAUCGUCAAAUUUGGGCAUAGGGGCGAAAGACUA